UGAAAAACGAUGAAAAGAAAAGUACAAGUUGGAUGACAGCACAGCGAGUCCCGUCUGGUGGAAAGGGAUCUGGAAGAAAAUUUGGAAGUGCAUCUUGGAGUUGUAUGGUUGAAUGGACAUUUCUUUAGACCAUAUCGGGUUUGCCCGUUACAGCAAAUCGGUAUAUCCGUCUGUUAUUUAUGGCGCCGUACCGAAUUAAGCAUACAAAGUAAAACAAGAAUGGCAGUUCUUUUUCUCUUUGUAACCAUUAAGGUGGAACCGUAAAAUAUUGCAUUUUGCCCUUAAA
rnacentral:ncRNA from 1 species